rnacentral:rRNA from 1 species
UGGGGAAUAUUGCACAAUGGGGGAAACCCUGAUGCAGCGACGCCGCGUGAACGAAGAAGGUAUUCGUAUCGUAAAGUUCUGUCCUAUGGGAAGAUAAUGACAGUACCAUAGAGGAAAGCUCCGGCUAAAUACGUGCCAGCAGCCGCGGUAAUACGUAUGGAGCGAGCGUUGUCCGGAAUUAUUGGGCGUAAAGGGUACGCAGGCGGUUUAAUAAGUCGAAUGUUAAAGAUCGGGGCUCAACCCCGCAAAGCAUUGGAAACUGAUAAACUUGAGUAGUGGAGAGGAAAGUGGAAUUACUAGUGUAGUGGUGAAAUACGUAGAUAUUAGGAGGAAUACCAGUAGCGAAGGCGACUUUCUGGACACAAACUGACGCUGAGGUACGAAAGCGUGGGGAGCAAACAGG